GCUCAAGUCAUCUGACCAUUCGGUAAGAGCAUUUGGAGAGGUGUAUCCUGUCUUGGGAAGCAAGGCUUCCAGGGCCAAUGUGGGCAUAUAUUGAAGAGGAUUCCAGAGACAGGCUGUUGAGAAAGAAGAGGUGUCCAAGUCGGCUCCCCCAGGGACACAAAAGGCCCUGUAGUGAUGAAGGGGAGUGGUUAAUUGACAGAGGCAUUUCCAAGCCCCGCCCUGCCCUCAUCACUUGGAUGCUGUAGUGGCUAUUCCUGGUUGUCAACUUGACUAUAUCUGGAAUGAACUACAGUCUAGAAUUGGAAGGCUCACCUAUGAUCCUAAUUUGGAGGCUCAGAGAUAUAAGUUUCUGACCUGGAUCUUGGCAUGGAGACCUUGAAGCAUAGUGGCUAAGACAAGGAGAUCUCCGAGUUCAAGAUCAUUUGGGAUUCAAGGCAUGGAUGCACACACCUUUAAUCUGGGCCACACCCUCUGCUGGAGACCCACAUGACAAUAAUCUGGGUCACACCCUCUGUUGGAGACCUACAGCCUUUAAUUUGGGCUAUACCCUCUGCUGGAGAUAUAUAAGGACAUUGGAAGAAGGAAGAUGCUCACUCACUCUUCCUUGCCUGCUUGCUUCGUGGGACUGAGAAACUGCUAGAUCCUUGGACUUCCAUCCACAGCUGCUGCUGAUCAUUGUUGGGGAGCUGGACUAUAGACUACAAGGAAUGGACUUUUGGAUGGCCACCUAAGUCGCUGAGAAACAGACAUCAAGGCACAUGUACACAGGGCUGACAACUAGUUCUGUGGCAGAGCAUCAUGACCCUGAGAACUCCUUACCAUAUUUGACAUCUGUCUUUUACUGGGUUUAUUUCCAUAUGACUUCUGAAUGGUUAUUUAAUAAAAAGCCACUGAAAUGU